rnacentral:tRNA from 1 species
AGUAUCACGCCGGAAUCGAACGGGCUACUCUGAUGACGUAGAAAACGGGAAUAUAAACCCUGAUACUU